rnacentral:rRNA from 1 species
UGGGGAAUAUUGGACAAUGGGCGCAAGCCUGAUCCAGCAAUGCCGCGUGAGUGAAGAAGGCCUUAGGGUUGUAAAGCUCUUUCGGCGGGGACGAUGAUGACGGUACCCGCAGAAGAAGCCCCGGCUAACUCCGUGCCAGCAGCCGCGGUAAUACGGAGGGGGCUAGCGUUGUUCGGAAUUACUGGGCGUAAAGGGCGCGUAGGCGGCGCGAUAAGUUGGGCGUGAAAGGCCCGGGCUCAACCCGGGGACUGCGCUUGAUACUGUCGCGCUGUGAGUCCGGGAGAGGAUGGCGGAAUUCCCAGUGUAGAGGUGAAAUUCGUAGAUAUUGGGAAGAACACCGGUGGCGAAGGCGGCCAUCUGGACCGGCACUGACGCUGAGGCGCGAAAGCGUGGGGAGCAAACAGGAUUAGAUACCCCCGUAGUCC